rnacentral:sRNA from 1 species
GCUGGGUGCAGUGGCGUACACCUGUAAUCCCAGUGGCUUGGGAGACUGAGACAGGAGAAUCGGGAGUUCAAAGCCAUCCUCAGCCAUGGUGAGAUGCAAAGCAACUUAAGUGAGACCCUGUCUCAG